rnacentral:rRNA from 1 species
AGAGUUUGAUCCUGGCUCAGGAUGAACGCUGGCGGUCUGCUUAACACAUGCAAGUCGAACGGAAGUAGCAAUACUUUAGUGGCGGACGGGUGAGUAACGCGUGAGAAUCUACCUUCAGGACGGAGACAACAGUUGGAAACGACUGCUAACCCCCGAUGUACCGCAAGGGCAAAUAUUUAUAGCCUGAAGAAGAGCUCGCGUCCGAUUAGCUAGUUGGGGGGGUAAAAGCCCACCAAGGCGACGAUCGGUAGCUGGUCUGAGAGGACGAUCAGCCACACUGGGACUGAGACACGGCCCAGACUCCUACGGGAGGCAGCAGUGGGGAAUUUUCCGCAAUGGGCGCAAGCCUGACGGAGCAAGACCGCGUGGGGGAGGAAGGCUCUUGGGUUGUAAACCCCUUUUCUCUGGGAAGAACAAAAUGACGGUACCAGAGGAAUCAGCAUCGGCUAACUCCG